UCCGGUUGAUCCUGCCAGAGGUUACUGCUAUCGAGAUUCGACUAAGCCAUGCGAGUUGAAUGUUCUUCGGAACAUGGCGGACUGCUCAGUAACACGUGGACAACCUACCCUUGGGUCCGGCAUAAUCCUGGCAAACUGGGAAUAAUUUCGAAUACGACACCUACGCUUGAAUGCCGCGGGCGCCAAACUCCCUCCCCCCAAGAAGGGUCUGCCGCAUAUUAUGUUGUUCUGGGGGGAACAUGCCUAUUAUCCCACCACGGGUACCCGGUGUGACACCCAGAAGCCUGAGAAGGAUUUGCAAACACAAAUCCCCGCCCUACCGCCUGCAUCAGGGGCGAAAACUUUACAAUGCAGGAAACCCUGAUAAAGAAAUCUCGAGUGCCAGCAUAUAAUGUUGUCUGUCCAGAUGCCUAAAAAACAUUGUUACCAAGGGCCGAGCAAGACCGGUGCCAGCCGCCGCGGUAACACCGGGGGCCCGAGUGGUAACCGUUAUUUUGGUUCUAAAGGGUCUGUAGCCGCCAAGGUAAGUCCUUGGGGAAAUCUGCCAGCUCAACUGUCAGGCUGCUAGGGGAUACUGUUUGGCUGGGGACCGGGAGAGGUGAGAGGUACCUUGGGGGUAGGGGUGAAAUCUUGUGAUCCUCGAGGGACCACCAGUGGCGAAGGCGUCUCACCAGAACGGGUCCGACGGUAAGGGACGAAAGCUAGGGGCACGAACCGGAUUAGAUACCCGGGUAGUCCUAGCCGUAAACGAUGCUCGCUAGGUGUCAGUCACGGUGCGACCGUGAUUGGUGCCGUAGGGAAGCCGUGAAGCGAGCCACCUGGGAAGUAUGGCCGCAAGGCUGAAACUUAAAGGAAUUGGCGGGGGAGCACUACAACGGGUGGAGCCUGCGGUUUAAUUGGAUUCAACGCCGGAAAUCUCACCGGGGGCGACAGCGAUAUGAAGGUCAGGCUGAAGACUUUACCGGAUUAGCUGAGAGGUGGUGCAUGGCCGUCGUCAGUUCGUACUGUGAAGCAUCCUGUUAAGUCAGGCAACGAGCGAGACCCACAUCCACAGUUGCCAGCAUAUUCUCCGGAAUGAUGGGUACACUGUGGAGACCGCCGCUGCUAAAGCGGAGGAAGGAGUGGGCAACGGUAGGUCAGUAUGCCCCGAAUCUCCCGGGCUACACGCGGGCUACAAUGGUUGGUACAAUGGGCAUCUACCCCGAAAGGGGAAGGAAAUCUCUUAAAACCAAUCGUAGUUCGGAUUGAGGGCUGCAACUCGCCCUCAUGAAGCUGGAAUCCGUAGUAAUCGCGUUUCAACAGAACGCGGUGAAUACGUCCCUGCUCCUUGCACACACCGCCCGUCAAACCACCCGAGUAGGGUCUGGAUGAGGGUGUGUUUUAUUGACACAUUCGAAUCUGGGCUUUGCAAGGGGGGUU
rnacentral:rRNA from 1 species